GUCUACGACCAUACAACUCUGAAUGCGUCUGAUCUUGGAAACUAAACAGGGCCAGGUCUGGUUAGUACUUGGAUGGGAGACCCCAUGGGAAUACCAGGUGCUGUAGGCC
ensembl:rRNA 5S_rRNA 5S ribosomal RNA